GACGAACGCUGGCGGCGCGCUUAACACAUGCAAGUCGAGCGAGAACCAGGGCUUCGGCCCUGGGGACAGCGGCGAACGGGUGAGUAACACGUGGAUAACCUGCCCUCGGCACCGGGAUAGCCCGGGGAAACUCGGAUUAAUACCGGAUGGCCCUUCCGGCUCUCGAGCCGGUCGGAAAAGGUAGCUUCGGCCUCCGGCCGAGGAUGGGUCCGCGGCGGAGUAGCGUGUUGGUGGGGUAACGGCCUACCAAGGCUCCGAUCCGUAGCUGGUCUGAGAGGAGGACCAGCGACACUGGGACUGAGACACGGGCCAGACUCCGACGGGAGGCAGCAGUGGGGAAUCUUGCGCAAUGGGCGAAAGCCUGACGCAGCGACGCCGCGUGAGGGAGGAAGGCCGUCGGGUUGUAAACCUCUUUCAGGAGGGACGAAGCUACUCGGGUGAAUAGCCCAGAGGGUGACGGUACCUCCAGAAGAAGCCCCGGCUAACUACGUGCCAGCAGCCGCAGUAA
rnacentral:rRNA from 1 species